AUUGAACGCUGGCGGCAGGCCUAACACAUGCAAGUCGAGCGGAUGAGUGGAGCUUGCUCCAUGAUUCAGCGGCGGACGGGUGAGUAAUGCCUAGGAAUCUGCCUGGUAGUGGGGGACAACGUUUCGAAAGGAACGCUAAUACCGCAUACGUCAUACGGGAGAAAGUGGGGGAUCUUCGGACCUCACUCUAUCAGAUGAGCCUAGGUCGGAUUAGAUCGUUGGUGAGGUAAAGGCUCACCAAGGCGACGAUCCGUAACUGGUCUGAGAGGAUGACCAGUCAACCUGGAACUGAGACACGGUCCAGACUCCUACGGGAGGCAGCAGUGGGGAAUAUUGGACAAUGGGCGAAAGCCUGAUCCAGCCAUGCCGCGUGUGUGAAGAAGGUCUUCUGAUUGUAAAGCACUUUAAGUUGGGAGGAAGGGCAGUAAGUUAAUACCUUGCUGUUUUGACGUUACCAACAGAAUAAGCACCGGCUAACUUCGUGCCAGCAGCCGCGGUAACAC
rnacentral:rRNA from 1 species